rnacentral:lncRNA from 1 species
CUCAGAUGGAAAUGCAGAAAUCACCCGUCUUCUGCGUCGCUCACGCUGGGAGCUGUAGACCGGAGCUGUUCCUAUUCGGCCAUCUUGGCUCCUCCGAAUGUGAUUUUGAAGAAAGGAGGAAAGAUGUGAAAAGUGAUUGGUCAGCCACAUUCAUGGUGUUGAGAAAAGAAUUUGCUUUUCUGGAACAUAGCCUGUGAUAGCAGAACAACACCUGGCAAGAAACAGGUUAUGUUUGGCUGGAGAGUCAUUGGCACUAUCAAGAAAUAUUAAAGUGUAGAUUUGAGAGAGGAGGAGAAAGACCCAAGCAAAAUUGAAAACCAGGUGGGACCCAGACAGCAGCAAAGCAAUGGAAGCAUGUAUUUUGGUCAAUAUAGAGUUAAUACACAAUUUUGCCCCUCUUCUUCUGAUCAUGGGACUCAUAUUACCAGUCUUCACAUUUCCUUUAAAUUCAGGAAUCAGGAAGAAUUUCCAGAGUUUGCAGAUGGACACAUUUGCUGCUUCCAUUCUAAACAUAAGUUAGAAGAACCUUUCAACUGGAUUCCAACUUUAAUAUGUCA